CCGGAUUUACUGAGUGACACGGCGCGGCGGGCGGUUCGGCCAGUCUGAUGGGCAAGCCCGGGGCCUCAACCCCGGUACUUGCAUUGGAAACUGUCGAACUAGAGUGUCGGAGGGGUAAGUGGAUUCCCUAGUGUAGCGGUGAAAUGCGUAGAUAUUAGGAGGAACACCAGUCGCGAAGGCGACUUACUGGACGAUAACUGACGUUGAGGCUCGAAAGCCGUGGGGAGCAAACAGGAUUAGAUAUCCUGGUAGUCCACGCUGUACACGAUGAAUACUAGCUGUUGGGGAGCACUGCUCCUCAGUGGCGCAGCAAACGCAAUAAGUAUUCCACCUGGGGAGUACGUUCGCAAGAAUGAAACUCACAGGAAUUGACGGGGGACCCGCACACGCGCUGCAGCAUGUCGUUUAAUUCGAAGCAACGCGCAGAACCUUACCAAGUCUUGACAUCCCAUUGACAGUACAUGUAAUGUGUAUUCUCUUCGGAGCAAUGGUGACAGGUGGUGCAUGGUUGUCGUCAGCUCGUGUCGUGAGAUGUUGGGUUAAGUCCCGCAACGAGCGCAACCCCUAUCCUCAGUACCCAGCAGUUCGGCUGGGCACUCUAGGGAGACUGCCAGGGAUAACCUGGAGGAAGGUGGGGAUGACGUCAAAUCAUCAUGCCCCUUAUGACUUGGGCUACACACGUGCUACAAUGGCGUAAACAAAGGGAAGCGAAGUCGUGAGGCCUAGCAAAUCUCAAAAAUAACGUCUCAGUUCGGAUUGUAGUCUGCAACUCGACUACAUGAAGCUGGAAUCGCUAGUAAUCGCAGAUCAGA
rnacentral:rRNA from 1 species